UGUAGGAGGACAAAUAUGACACAAACCUCUCUAAUUGUUAUAAAGCACACUGUUUACAUUAAACAUGCUUCACUGAUUCGAGUAUUUGGCGAGCGCCGUUUUGUCCUACAAAUUUUGGCGGUCCUUGAACGCACCGUGAUUUGUUUACAUGUACAACUUUUUCCGACUUUCUAGGACGUGUUUUAUGCCACUUCUUUUUCCGUCUCAUUUUGUCCACCGAACUUUUAAAGCUGUGCGUGAAUGCAGAAAGAAAUAAGCCGCCUUUCAGGGUGUACAUCGCCUGUGCUCAAGGUGCUGCCGUCGCCAUGACAACACACCGCUACACUCAAGGUUCAUGGCAAUGUGCCUUCAACUGUGAGGUGGUCGCUCCAAGCCUGUGCACCACUUCGAAGAGUCCUGCUUCAAGAACCUGCGCCAGUGUAAAGAUGGAUUUUCUAAAACGGAGACAAUGAAACUGGUCGCGGUGGGUCUCAGCUGCAUUCGGGCGGAAGGUGGGCUACACCUUGGACAAGUCGCCCUUGAGGGAAGCCAUAAACGUUUUUAAAAAAUCCAUAUAUCGAAUCGGUUCUGAAAAUAAAAGAC